CAGUAGCCGCGGGAAUACGUAGGUGGCAAGCGUUGUCCGGAAUUAUUGGGCGUAAAGGGCUCGCAGGCGGUUUCUUAAGUCUGAUGUGAAAGCCCCCGACUCAACCGGGGAGGGUCAUUGGAAACUGGGAAACUUGAGUGCAGAAGAGGAGAGUGGAAUUCCACGUGUAGCGGUGAAAUGCGUAGAGAUGUGGAGGAACACCAGUGGCGAAGGCGACUCUCUGGUCUGUAACUGACGCUGAGGAGCGAAAGCGUGGGGAGCGAACAGGAUUAGAUACCCGGGUAGUCCCUGUCUCUUAUAU
rnacentral:rRNA from 1 species